AGAAGGAGGAGAUGGUUUAAUGCACAUACAGAGCAGAAUAGCAACCUUUAGGCUUCAGUUUGCUCAAAGGUUGUUGACUGGACCAGUGGACUCAAACUGGAAAUAUGCUGCUUGUGUUAUUUUGCGAGAUUUCAGAGGUCUAAACUUUGAGAGAUCUUUGUUCUGGUUGAAUCCGCAAAAGAUGGACUUGUCUAAGCUGCCAUUUUUUUAUCAGAACCUAUUUAAAGUUUGGUCUUUGUUCAAGGUGCAGAGACCCAGCUCUAUGACCUCUCUGCAUUGGUUGCUACAAGAACCGCUGGUUUAUGGAUCGCGCUUGGACAUAUCAAAUGAAAAAAUACUCCCUGCAAUUUGUGAUCUUCUUCUUAAUGCUGGAGUUUUAACGCUUGGACAAUUAUUUAAACUGGCUGGACUGGACUUUGAGAAUGUUGAUGCAGUCGUCAGACAUUUGGGGUUAAAAUCGAAACGCAUAACAGCCAAAUUACUUGAAAAAUGGAAGUCAGCACUUACAUCAGAAGAAGUUAAACUGCUGGAAGAUUAUACUGAAGGGUCAAUUACUCCAGAUUGUAAUGACCCUUUUCCUGAUUUGUAUCUGUUGACUGAUUUUGAAGAAUGUGAAGGUGUUUUCUUACAAGCCAAUUUGUUGAUGUUAAUGGGUCCUAAUCUAGUGUGUGGAAAAAUUUUGUACAAAAAUUGUGUCAAAACUCUGAAUAAGAAGUUUUUGCAUAAAAGAGUUGAUACACCUUGGCGUUCUGCCCUCCAUCUAGGGGAGGAUGUCAAGCCAGAAUGGCGAGCAUUAUACAAGUCACCUGUGUCAAAAAAAGUGGGUGACUUACAAUGGAGGAUCCUUCAUGGAGCGAUUGCUGUGAACGCAUUUGUUUCAGUCAUAAACCAUGAUAUUAGCGAUGAAUGCCCUUUUUGUUUUCAGAAGGAGAACAUUUUUCAUGCUUUUGUGUAUUGUAUCAGGCUUGUACCAUUGUUUCAGGUUUUAAAGAAUUUAUUUGGUUGUUUUGAUGAGAUUUUUUCUUUGGAAAUGUUUAUCUGUGGAUUUAAAUACAUCCGGAGACGUCGAUUUUGUUGCCAAUUAAUGAACUUUUUAUUGGGUCAAGCGAAGAAGGCGAUAUAUGACACUAGAAAAAUAAGAAUUGAACGCAACUCAAGUGUUAAUUUGCAAAUUGUGUUUCUUAACCUAGUAAAAUCCAGAAUUUUAAUUGACUUUCGAUAUUAUAAGGCUAUGGGAGAUCUUAUGUCUUUUGAAUUGAUUUGGUGUUAUAAGGGGGUUCUGUGUGAAAUAAUUAAUGAGAGUUUACAGUUUGCAUAUGUAUUGAAAUGAGUUUUUUUAUGGAUAUUUAUUUGUAUAUUUGAUAUAUGGAAUGUGUAUGGUUUUUUGUACUCCUGUAGGUAGGAACUGAAUGUAUUAGUUUAGGUUAGUUGUAAUAAAGGUCUGUUAAAAUUCAAUUCUCUCUCUCUCUCUCUCUCUCACUUCCAGCAUGAGUGGUGCAAGUGUGAAUUGGAGAUUGUGAGUGAAUCCUCUUUUUUCUUGCUCUCUUUCUUGCUUGGGCUACUGUUAUUAAGUUUUGUGGCUUAUUUC
ensembl:lncRNA